GGCCUCUCAGGAUCACACCUGGAGAGUUUCCAGUACUUUACCAGUCUCGACUAAGAGGGAGAGUCAAGCAGAGGCAUAUCCAUUCUAUUCCUAGCUGAUGCAGUGGCUAGCGAGUGGAAGGCAAUCUGCUACAAAU